CCUACGGGCGGCAGCAGUGGGGAAUAUUGGACAAUGGGCGAAAGCCUGAUCCAGCCAUGCCGCGUGUGUGAAGAAGGCCUUCGGGUUGUAAAGCACUUUCAGUGGGGAAGAAAGCCUUGGGGCUAAUACCCUCGAGGAAGGACAUCACCCACAGAAGAAGCACCGGCUAACUCCGUGCCAGCAGCCGCGGUAAUACGGAGGGUGCGAGCGUUAAUCGGAAUUACUGGGCGUAAAGCGCGCGUAGGCGGUCUGAUAAGCCGGUUGUGAAAGCCCCGGGCUCAACCUGGGAACGGCAUCCGGAACUGUCAGGCUAGAGUGCAGGAGAGGAAGGUAGAAUUACCGGUGUAGCGGUGAAAUGCGUAGAGAUCGGGAGGAAUACCAGUGGCGAAGGCGGCCUUCUGGACUGACACUGACGCUGAGGUGCGAAAGCGUGGGUAGCAAACAGGAUUAGAUACCCCUGUAGUC
rnacentral:rRNA from 1 species